UCAAUAUAAUGGAUUUUAAUACGACAGUCAUACAAAGGAGAGGUUUAACAAGCUUUAAAAUCAAUUUAAUCAACCAUUUUUUAUAGAAAGAAAAUGCCUGUACCAAGUCAGGAAUAUGACAGUUGGUGUUCAUUGGUUUGGUAUGGUCACUAUUUUCUAUUGUACAUACAUUACUAACUUCAUUAAUGUUCAAUUAUUGAUUCUUUUUAUUAUUAAUUUCAGGAGAAUUUCCAAACUUGUGGAAUAAUCGCACAACAUCAGAAGAAAAAGUUUGGCGACUUUUAUAAACAGGAGAAUUUCUCAACUUGUGGAAGAAUCUUUAAACAGAAGAACAAAAACUUUCGGCGACUUUUACAAGCCUUGUAUCAACAUCACUGCUGGUGAUCCGAUGGAAAACAAAAUUGGUGUCGAGUCGUCACUGGUUCAGACGUACUUAUAAUUUAAUUAUUUCUGUGACUGCAUCUUACAUUAAUUUGUAGGAUCCUUUACAAAAGAUAAUUCAGCUGAUCUGUAACAAUUCUAUCUUCAUGCCUAAUACAUCAUGUACUGUGUUACGACGCUAGAUAAAAAUUGUCAAGGAAAGGAAACACACGACCACCGAAACUUUUAUAGAGCCUAGGUGGUUGAGUGGUCUAGCGCGUCGGGCAUAGUGCAAGGCGAUUUGGUGCCACGAUAUCUCAAUAGCAUGAGUUUGAAUCCCGGGCAUAGUGCAAGGCUUCCGCAAAUUUACAGAUCUAGAUAUAUAUAACAUUGUUGGGCUGUUGUUUAGACGAAUUCUAUAAUAUAUAUCAUAUAUAAAUGUGCUUUAUCUAAAUAAAAAAAAUAUGGCUCUUUAAUAUCGUGCUUAAAUGCUUAAAACAAACUGAAAAAAGAAGAAUUGAAUACCCAAAAUGGGAGAUUAGAAUUUGUCAUCGUUAAAACAAAAGAUUAGUUGGAAGUAUAAAAGAAAUUUGUCAGAUAAUGUAUA